UGGGGAAUAUUGGACAAUGGGCGAAAGCCUGAUCCAGCCAUGCCGCGUGUGUGAAGAAGGUCUUCGGAUUGUAAAGCACUUUAAGUUGGGAGGAAGGGCAGUAAGCGAAUACCUUGCUGUUUUUACGUUACCGACAGAAUAAGCACCGGCUAACUCUGUGCCAGCAGCCGCGGUAAUACAGAGGGUGCAAGCGUUAAUCGGAAUUACUGGGCGUAAAGCGCGCGUAGGUGGUUCGUUAAGUUGAAUGUGAAAGCCCCGGGCUCAACCUGGGAACUGCAUCCAAAGCUGGCGAGCUAGAGUAGGGCAGAGGGUGGUGGAAUUUCCUGUGUAGCGGUGAAAUGCGUAGAUAUAGGAAGGAACACCAGUGGCGAAGGCGACCACCUGGGCUCAUACUGACACUGAGGUGCGAAAGAGUGGGGAGCAAACAGG
rnacentral:rRNA from 1 species